rnacentral:rRNA from 1 species
GAUCGAGUUUGAUCCUGGCUCAGGAUGAACGCUAGCGGCAGGCUUAACACAUGCAAGUCGAGGGGUAUAGUUCUUCGGAGCUAGAGACCGGCGCACGGGUGCGUAACGCGUAUGCAAUCUACCUUUACAGAGGGAUAGCCCAGAGAAAUUUGGAUUAAUACCUCAUAGUAUGUGAGAAUCGCAUGGUUUUCACAUUAAAGUCACAACGGUAAAGAUGAGCAUGCGUCCAUUAGCUAGUGUAAGUACGCUACCAAGGCUACGAUGGGUAGGGGUCCUGAGAGGGAGAUCCCCCGACACUGGUACUGAGACACGGACCA